GACGAACGCUGGCGGCGUGCUUAACACAUGCAAGUCGAACGGAAAGGCCCUGCUUUUGUGGGGUGCUCGAGUGGCGAACGGGUGAGUAACACGUGAGUAACCUGCCCUUGACUUUGGGAUAACUUCAGGAAACUGGGGCUAAUCCCGUAUCGGAGCUCCUGCUGCAUGGUGGGGGUUGGAAAGUUUCGGCGGUUGGGGAUGGACUCGCGGCUUAUCAGCUUGUUGGUGGGGUAGUGGCUUACCAAGGCUUUGACGGGUAGCCGGCCUGAGAGGGUGACCGGCGACAUUGGGACUGAGAUACGGCCCAGACUCCUACGGGAGGCAGCAGUGGGGAAUAUUGCACAAUGGGCGGAAGCCUGAUGCAGCAACGCCGCGUGCGGGAUGACGGCCUUCGGGUUGUAAACCGCUUUCGCCUGUGACGAAGCGUGAGUGACGGUAAUGGGUAAAGAAGCACCGGCUAACUACGUG
rnacentral:rRNA from 1 species